rnacentral:rRNA from 1 species
GAUGAACGCUGGCGGCGUGCCUAAUACAUGCAAGUCGAGCGAACAGACGAGGAGCUUGCUCCUCUGACGUUAGCGGCGGACGGGUGAGUAACACGUGGAUAACCUACCUAUAAGACUGGGAUAACUUCGGGAAACCGGAGCUAAUACCGGAUAAUAUAUUGAACCGCAUGGUUCAAUAGUGAAAGACGGUUUUGCUGUCACUUAUAGAUGGAUCCGCGCAGCAUUAGCUAGUUGGUAAGGUAACGGCUUACCAAGGCAACGAUGCGUAGACGACCUGAGAGGGUGAUCGGCCACACUGGAACUGAGACACGGUCCAGACUCCUACGGGAGGCAGCAGUAGGGAAUCUUCCGCAAUGGGCGAAAGCUUGACGGAGCAACGCCGCGUGAGUGAUGAAGGUCUUCGGAUCGUAAAACUCUGUUAUUAGGGAAGAACAAAUGUGUAAGUAACUAUGCACGUCUUGACGGUACCUAAUCAGAAAGCCACGGCUAACUACGUG